rnacentral:rRNA from 1 species
GACGGGGGGGGCAGUGUUCUUCGGAAUGACUGGGCGUAAAGGGCACGUAGGCGGUGAAUCGGGUUGAAAGUGAAAGUCGCCAAAAAGUGGCGGAAUGCUCUCGAAACCAAUUCACUUGAGUGAGACAGAGGAGAGUGGAAUUUCGUGUGUAGGGGUGAAAUGCGCAGAUAUCAGGAAGAACACCCGUGGCUAAGGCGGCUCUCUAGUACGGUACUGACGCUGAGACGCGAAAGCGUGGGGAGC